GAUGAACGCUAGCGGGAGGCUUAACACAUGCAAGUCGAGGGGCAGCACGAAUAGCAAUAUUUGGUGGCGACCGGCGCACGGGUGAGUAACGCGUAUGCAACCUACCCUUUACAGGAGGAUAGCCCGGAGAAAUUCGGAUUAAUACUCCAUAGUUUCGUGAUGUCGCAUGAUAUUACGGAUAAAGUUCAGGCGGUAAAGGAUGGGCAUGCGUACCAUUAGUUAGUUGGUGAGGUAACGGCUCACCAAGACAGCGAUGGUUAUGGGGUCUAAAAGGAUGGUCCCACACACUGGUACUGAGACACGGACCAGACUCCUACGGGAGGCAGCAGUGAGGAAUAUUGGUCAAUGGGCGAAAGCCUGAACCAGCCAUCCCGCGUGCAGGAUGACAGCCCUAGAGGUUGUAAACUGCUUUUCUGCAGGAAGAAUAA
rnacentral:rRNA from 1 species